GGAACUUAAAAAAAGCUGAUCCAUCCCCUUUUGACUUUCAAUGUAUUUAUUGAUGGAUCAGUUUCUUUCCGGUUUGAUUUCACACAACCGCAUCCUAACCGAACGGAUGCUUCCUGAUGUGUAAAAUCAAAACGGAUUCGUUUGA